UACGGAGGGUGCGAGCGUUGUCCGGAAUCACUGGGCGUAAAGGGCGCGUAGGCGGCUCGUGAAGUCAGUGGUGAAAGCCCAGGCUCAACUCUGGGUCGGCCACUGAUACUCGCGAGCUCGAGUUUGGUAGAGGCAGAUGGAAUUCCGGGUGUAGCGGUGGAAUGCGUAGAGAUCCGGAAGAACACCGGUGGCGAAGGCGGUCUGCUGG
rnacentral:rRNA from 1 species